rnacentral:rRNA from 1 species
CCUACGGGAGGCAGCAGUGAGGAAUAUUGGUCAAUGGACGAGAGUCUGAACCAGCCAAGUAGCGUGAAGGAUGACUGCCCUAUGGGUUGUAAACUUCUUUUAUAUGGGAAUAAAAUGUUCCACGUGUGGGAUUUUGUAUGUACCAUAUGAAUAAGGAUCGGCUAACUCCGUGCCAGCAGCCGCGGUAAUACGGAGGAUCCGAGCGUUAUCCGGAUUUAUUGGGUUUAAAGGGAGCGUAGGUGGAUUGUUAAGUCAGUUGUGAAAGUUUGCGGCUCAACCCUAAAAGUGCAGUUGAAACUGGCAGUCUUGAGUACAGUAGAGGUGGGCGGAAUUCGUGGUGUAGCGGUGAAAUGCUUAGAUAUCACGAAGAACUCCGAUUGCGAAGGCAGUUCACUGGACUGCAACUGACACUGAGGCUCGAAAGUGUGGGUAUCAAACAGGAUUAGAUACCCCUGUAGUC